rnacentral:rRNA from 1 species
GAUGAACGCUAGCGGCAGGCUUAACACAUGCAAGUCGAGGGGCAGCAUAAUGGAUAGCAAUAUCUAUGGUGGCGACCGGCGCACGGGUGAGUAACGCGUAUCCAACCUGCCCAUCACUUGGGGAUAACCUUGCGAAAGUAAGACUAAUACCCAAUGACGUCUCUAGAAGACAUCUGAAGGAGAUUAAAGAUUUAUCGGUGAUGGAUGGGGAUGCGUCUGAUUAGCUUGUUGGCGGGGUAACGGCCCACCAAGGCGACGAUCAGUAGGGGUUCUGAGAGGAAGGUCCCCCACAUUGGAACUGAGACACGGUCCAAACUCCUACGGGAGGCAGCAGUGAGGAAUAUUGGUCAAUGGACGAGAGUCUGAACCAGCCAAGUAGCGUGCAGGAUGAAGGCUCUAUGGGUCGUAAAACUUCUUUUAUAUGGGAAUAAAGUUUUCCAACGUGUGGAAUUUGUAUGUACCAUAUGAAUAAGGAUCGGCUAACGUCCGUGCCA